rnacentral:rRNA from 1 species
AUUGAACGCUGGCGGCAGGCCUAACACAUGCAAGUCGAGCGGCAGCGGGAAAGUAGCUUGCUACUUUUGCCGGCGAGCGGCGGACGGGUGAGUAAUGCCUGGGAAAUUGCCCAGUCGAGGGGGAUAACAGUUGGAAACGACUGCUAAUACCGCAUACGCCCUACGGGGGAAAGCAGGGGACCUUCGGGCCUUGCGCGAUUGGAUAUGCCCAGGUGGGAUUAGCUAGUUGGUGAGGUAAUGGCUCACCAAGGCGACGAUCCCUAGCUGGUCUGAGAGGAUGAUCAGCCACACUGGAACUGAGACACGGCCCAGACUCCUACGGGAGGCAGCAGUGGGGAAUAUUGCACAAUGGGGGAAACCCUGAUGCAGCCAUGCCGCGUGUGUGAGGAAGGCCUUCGGGUUGUAAAGCACUUUCAGCGAGGAGGAAAGGUUGAUGCCUAACACGUAUCAACUGUGACGUUACUCGCAGAAGAAGCACCGGCUAACUCCGUGCCAGCCGCCGCGGUAA